UAGGGAAUCUUCCGCAAUGGGCGAAAGCCUGACGGAGCAACGCCGCGUGAGCGAUGAAGGUCUUCGGAUCGUAAAACUCUGUCAUUAGGGAAGAACAAAUGUGUAAGUAACUAUGCACGUCUUGACGGUACCUAAUCAGAAAGCCACGGCUAACUACGUGCCAGCAGCCGCGGUAAUACGUAGGUGGCCAGCGUUAUCCGGAAUUAUUGGGCGUAAAGCGCGCGUAGGCGGUUUCUUAAGUCUGAUGUGAAAGCCCACGGCUCAACCGUGGAGGGUCAUUGGACACUGGAAAACUUGAGUGCGGAAGAGGAAAGUGGAAUUCCUUGUGUCGCAGUGAUAUGCGCAGAGAUAUGGAGGAACACCAGUGGCGAAGGCGACUUUCUGAUCUGUAACUGACGCUGAUGUGCGAAAGCGUGGGGAUCAAACAGG
rnacentral:rRNA from 1 species